AAGUGUUAGUUGCUAGUAAGGUUUUAACAUUCCUUUCCUCCUGAGAAGAAAAUAACACUGAAACAAAAUUACUGUGAGGUAUUUCGGAUCACAAUUACAAAGGACAAGUCAAAUUAAUACUUUUAAAGCCAAUAUUUAUUUCUAGAUUCUAUAAUAAUUUUCUUUCUUCGCAUCAAAAAUAAACAAAAUCUUUUAAAAAUAUCUAGAGUAAACAUCUAGAAACCACCCCUAAAGGAAUGCAUUCUGGCUUUGGGAUUGCUUUAUGAAUCUAACCGGCAAGGUUCCCAAUUGCUGAGUCUCUUGGACACAAUAUCUAAGAGAAGCUCGAUUUCGAAGAUAGCUUCCCGUAGCCUAACUGAAGGCUUUUAAAUGAGAUCAUGGCUUGUCUAUCACCAAGUGAAAGAAAGCAACAGAUAUGUCCAGGAGACUGAGAUCCUUCCUCUGAGGCUGGCUGCAGCAUCUCUCCUCCUGAGAUGUUCCGUUUAUUCUGCCUGCCUUGCCUAAGGGGAGUUUUUGGAAAGAAACCUCCCUUCUGAGCCACCCUUCGCUUUGAGAAUACCAGAUAACUCCUGAAGGUGGGGGAAUUCAGAACUAAAGACAGAAGCUGACGAUCUGGAGCCAGCGGAUAGACCUGCAGAGGCUGCGUCACCUGGGAGUCAGCGAUGGCAACCCUGCAGGAUUGGGAAGACAGUGUUACCUCAGGAAUAUGUUAGGAAAUAGUAUAUAUAUACAUCAAAUGAAUAUUCUGAACCUAUAUGAAAAUUAAUUGAAGGAAGGAAGGACGGGAAGCAGAACUAGCAAUAUUUGCAGUGUUUGUGUACUAAAAGUUGGUCUAAUUUCCUGACCAGUGUAUACAUUAAAAUAUUGCGAGUAUUCUAUGUGACAUGUGAUUAUCUGCCAUGAUUUUCUUUCCUUAAAAGUUUUUAGGCUGGGUGUGGUGACUCACUCCUGUAAUGUCAGCACUCUGGGAGGCUGAGGUGGUGGGUGGAUUACUUGAGGUCAGGAGUUCAAGACCAACCUGACCAACAUGGUGAAACCCCUUCUCUGCUAAAAAUACAAAAAUUAGCCAGGCAUGAUAGCGCACACCUGUAAUUCCAGCUACUCAGGAGACUGAGGCAGGAGAAUAGCUUGAACCCGGGAGAUGGAGUUUGCAGUGAGCCGAGAUCACACCACUGCAUUCCAGCCUGGGUGACAGAGCGAGACUCCAAUUCAAUAAGUAAAUAAAUAAAUGUUUUUAAUUAAGUUCUCACUCUACUUCAGAGCUCCUGAUAGAAAACACUAAUACAAA
rnacentral:lncRNA from 1 species